GACGAACGCUGGCGGCGUGCUUAACACAUGCAAGUCGAGCGGUAAGGCUCCUUCGGGAGUACACGAGCGGCGAACGGGUGAGUAACACGUGAGCAAUCUGCCCUUCACUUCGGGAUAACCCUCGGAAACGAGAGCUAAUACCGAAUACGACCAGUUCAGACAUCUGAUGCUGGUGGAAAGUUCCGGCGGUGAAGGAUGAGCUCGCGGCCUAUCAGCUUGUUGGUGGGGUAACGGCCCACCAAGGCUUCGACGGGUAGCCGGCCUGAGAGGGUAACCGGCCACACUGGGACCGAGACACGGCCCAGACUCCUACGGGAGGCAGCAGUGGGGAAUAUUGGACAAUGGGCGAAAGCCUGAUCCAGCAACGCCGCGUGAGGGAUGACGGCCUUCGGGUUGUAAUCCUCUUUCAGCAGGGACGAAGCGCAAGUGACGGUACCUGCAGAAGAAGCACCGGCCAACUACGUGCCAGCAGCCGCCGUAA
rnacentral:rRNA from 1 species